rnacentral:rRNA from 1 species
GCAUAUCAAUAAGCGGAGGAAAAGAAACUAACAAGGAUUCCCCUAGUAACUGCGAGUGAAGCGGGAAAAGCUCAAAUUUAAAAUCUGGUGGUCUUUGAUCAUCCGAGUUGUAAUCUAGAGAAGUGUUACCCGCGUUGGACCGUGUACAAGUCUCCUGGAAUGGAGCGUCAUAGAGGGUGAGAAUCCCGUCUUUGACACGGACUACCAAGGCUUUGUGGUGCGCUCUCAACGAGUCGAGUUGUUUGGGAAUGCAGCUCAAAAUGGGUGGUAAAUUCCAUCUAAAGCUAAAUACAGGCGAGAGACCGAUAGCGAACAAGUACCGUGAGGGAAAGAUGAAAAGAACUUUGGAAAGAGAGUUAAACAGUACGUGAAAUUGCUGAAAGGGAAACGCUGGAAGUCAGUCGCGUUGGCUAGGAAUCAACCUUACUCUUUUGUAGGGCUUACUUCUUAGUUGACGGGCCAACAUCAAUUUUGAUUGCUGGAAAAAGGCUUAGGGAAUGUGGCACCUUCGGGUGUGUUAUAGCCCUAGGUUGUAUACAGUGGUUGGGAUUGAGGAACGCAGCACGCCGUAAGGUUGGGUCUCUGAUCACACUCGUGCUUCGGAUGUUGGCAUAAUGGCUUUCAUCGACCCGUCUUGAAACACGGACCAAGGAGUCUAACAUGCCUGCGAGUGUUUGAGUGGAAAACUCGAGCGCACAAUGAAAGUAAUAGUUGAGAUCUCUGUCAUGGAGAGCAUCGACGCCCGGACCUGAUGUUUACUGACGGUUCUGCGGUAGAGCAUGUAUGUUGGGACCCGAAAGAUGGUGAACUAUGCCUGAAUAGGGUGAAGCCAGAGGAAACUCUGGUGGAGGCUCGUAGCGAUUCUGACGUGCAAAUCGAUCGUCAAAUUUGGGUAUAGGGGCGAAAGACUAAUCGAACCAUCUAGUAGCUGGUUCCUGCCGA